rnacentral:rRNA from 1 species
GACGAACGCUGGCGGCGUGCUUAACACAUGCAAGUCGAGCGGUAAGGCCCUUUCGGGGGUACACGAGCGGCGAACGGGUGAGUAACACGUGGGUGACCUGCCUUUAGCUCUGGGAUAAGCCUGGGAAACCGGGUCUAAUACCGGAUAUGACUCCGCGGCGCAUGUUGUGGGGUGGAAAGCCUUGUGCGGCUGGAGAUGGGGCCCGCGGCCUAUCAGCUUGUUGGUGGGGUGAUGGCCUACCAAGGCGACGACGGGUAGCCGGCCUGAGAGGGCGACCGGCCACACUGGGACUGAGACACGGCCCAGACUCCUACGGGAGGCAGCAGUGGGGAAUCUUGCGCAAUGGGCGAAAGCCUGACGCAGCGACGCCGCGUGAGGGAUGACGGCC